GACGAACGCUGGCGGCGCGCUUAACACAUGCAAGUCGAGCGAAGCGGCGGACGGGUGAGUAACACGUGAGUAACCUGCCUUUGACAUUGGGAUAGCCUCGGGAAACUGGGAUUCAUACCAAAUGGUCAAAGAUGGAGUCGCGGGUGAUUAGCUCGUUGGUGAGGUAACGGCCCACCAAGGCGACGAUCAGUAGCCGGGCUGAGAGGGGGGCAGGCCACAUUGGAGCUGGGACACGGUCCAAACUCUACGGGAGGCAGCAGUGGGGAAUAUUGCACAAUGGGGGAAACCAUGAUGCAGCGAGGCGGCGAGAGCGAAGAAGGCCUUCGGGUCGUAAAGCUCUUUUAUGAGGGAAGCGGUACCUGAAGAAAAAGCACCGGCUAACUCCGUGACAGCAGCCGCGGUAAUUC
rnacentral:rRNA from 1 species